rnacentral:rRNA from 1 species
CCUACGGGAGGCAGCAGUGAGGAAUUUUCCGCAAUGGGCGAAAGCCUGACGGAGCAAUACCGCGUGAGGGAUGAAGGAUUUUGGUCUGUAAACCUCUUUUCUCAAGAAAGAAGUUCUGACGGUACUUGAGGAAUAAGCAUCGGCUAACUCCGUGCCAGCAGCCGCGGUAAUACGGGGGAUGCAAGCGUUAUCCGGAAUGAUUGGGCGUAAAGCGCCUGUAGGUUGUUUAUUAAGUCCGUUGUUAAAGCCUAGGGCUUAACCCUAGAAAAGCAAUGGAAACUAGUAGACUAGAGUAUGGCGGGGGUAGAGGGAAUUUCUAGUGUAGCGGUGAAAUGCGUAGAUAUUAGAAAGAACACCGGUGGCGAAAGCGCUCUACUGGACCAUUACUGACACUCAGAGGCGAAAGCUAGGGUAGCAAAAGGGAUUAGAUACCCCUGUAGUCCUAGCCGUAAACGAUGGAUACUAGAUGUUGUGCAUUAUGUACAGUAUCGUAGCUAACGCGUUAAGUAUCCCGCCUGGGGAGUACGCUCGCAAGGUGAAACUCAAAGGAUUGACGG